UAGGGAAUAUUGGACAAUGGGCGAAAGCCUGAUCCAGCAAUGCCGCGUGAGUGAUGAAGGCCUUAGGGUUGUAAAGCUCUUUUACCCGAGAUGAUAAUGACAGUAUCGGGAGAAUAAGCUCCGGCUAACUCCGUGCCAGCAGCCGCGGUAAUACGGAGGGAGCUAGCGUUGUUCGGAAUUACUGGGCGUAAAGCGCACGUAGGCGGCGAUCUAAGUCAGAGGUGAAAGCCUGGAGCUCAACUCCAGAACUGCCUUUGAGACUGGAUUGCUAGAAUCCGGGAGAGGUGAGUGGAAUUCCGAGUGUAGAGGUGAAAUUCGUAGAUAUUCGGAAGAACACCAGUGGCGAAGGCGGCUCACUGGACCGGCAUUGACGCUGAGGUGCGAAAGCGUGGGGAGCAAA
rnacentral:rRNA from 1 species